rnacentral:tRNA from 1 species
GCGGGUGUAGCUCAAUGGUAGAGCGUUGGCCUUCCAAGCCAAUUACGUGGGUUCGAUUCCCAUCACCCGCUCCA